UACGAAGGGGGCUAGCGUUGCUCGGAAUUACUGGGCGUAAAGCGCGCGUAGGCGGGUCUUUAAGUGAGGGGUGAAAGGUUCGGGCUCAACCCGGACACUGCCUUUCAUACUGGGGAUCUUGAGUGCGGGAGGGGCGAGUGGAAUGGUCGGUGUAGCGGUGAAAUGCGUAGAUAUCGAUCGGAACACCCAUGGCGAAGGCAGCUCGCUGGCCUGCAACUGACGCUGAGGCGCGAAAGCGUGGGGAGCAAACAGG
rnacentral:rRNA from 1 species